UACAGAGGUCUCGAGCGUUAGGCGGAAUCACUGGGCUUAAAGCGUGUGUAGGUGGAUGCCUAAGUACCUUGUGAAAUCCCAUGGCUUAACCAUGGAAUUGCUCGGUAUACUGGGUGUCUUGAGCCACUCAGGGGCUACCGGAACAAGCGGUGGAGCGGUGAAAUGCGUAGAUAUCGCUUGGAACGCCAAAGGUGAAAACAGGGUAGCUGGGGGUGUGCUGGACACUGAGACACGAAAGCCAGGGGAGCAAACGGG
rnacentral:rRNA from 1 species